UCAGACUCCAGUGAAUCUGUGUGUUCAAGGUUUUGAAUGUGGGAGGUUCGGUGUGGGAGUUAUAGCCCCAAACGCGUUUUCCCUUGGUAUAGCGCCACCUAGUGGCCGGCGUGUCUGGAUUUUGUCGUCUGCGUAGUCCGAAGAGAUCUGGAUCUAGUCAUGCAAUUGGCGUGUCGUCACCAUUUACGGUUUGGGCUGUGGGCACACUUUUAGGGAGGUAAGAAUAACUAGAACUGCAAGCAGUUAUGCAGGGGUCCAAGAAGUGUGCAUUUCGCCGGCACAACGCGACAAGAAAUGUGCGUUUCGCCGGCACAACGCGAAGCAAGUAUUCAAAACGCUACCGUGAACAACAUGUGGAUAUAAAGGUUUUGACUGUGGGAGCUUCGGUGUGGGAG
ensembl:lncRNA